rnacentral:lncRNA from 1 species
UGAGCAGAAAGGAUGUGUAUCGGCUCCAGGGUAAGGCAGUGAAAAACCAAUGUGCUAAAGAACUCUCACAGCUCAGCAAUACAAAGAUAAACAACCGAGUUAAAAAAUGGGCAAACUGGGAGAGGCCGGGCGCAGUGGCUCACGCCUGUAAUCCCAGCACUUUGGGAGGCCGAGCUGGGGGGAUCAUUUGAGGUCAGGAGUUUGAGACCAGCCUGGCCAACGUGGUGAAACCACAUCUCGCUGGAACCAAAAGCAUCACAGGUGUCAGG